GACGAACGCUGGCGGCGUGCUUAACACAUGCCAGUCGAACGGUGAAGCGCCUUCCUUUUUGGUGGGUGUGGAUGAGUGGCGAACGGGUGAGUAACACGUGAGUAACCUGCCCCCUUCUUCUGGAUAACCGCAUGAAAGUGUGGCUAAUACGGGAUAUUCUGGGUCUGUCGCAUGAUGGGUCUGGGAAAGAUAUUGUUUCGGUGGGGGAUGGGCUCGCGGCCUAUCAGCUUGUUGGUGGGGUGAUGGCCUACCAAGGCGGUGACGGGUAGCCGGCCUGAGAGGGUGGACGGUCACACUGGGACUGAGAAACGGCCAAGACUCCUACGGGAGGCAGCAGUGGGGAAUAUUGCACAAUGGGCGCAAGCCUGAUGCAGCGACGCCGCGUGAGGGAUGGAGGCCUGCGGGUUGUGAACCUCUUUCGCCAGUGAAGCAGGCCUGCCUCGUUUGUGGGUGGGUUGACGGUAGCUGGAUAAGAAGCGCCGGCUAACUACGUG
rnacentral:rRNA from 1 species